rnacentral:rRNA from 1 species
GAUGAACGCUGGCGGCGUGCCUAAUACAUGCAAGUCGAGCGAAGCGGGGACGGGUGAGUAACACGUGGAUAACCUCCUAUAAGACUGGGAUAACUUCUGGAAACCGGAGCUAAACCGGAUACGUAUAGAUGGGUCUGCUCUGCAUUAGCUGGUUGGUAAGGUACCGGCUUACCAAGGCAACGAUGCAUAGCCGACCUGAGAGGGUGGUCGGCCAGACUGGAACUGAGACACGUGCCAGACGCCUACGGGAGCCAGCAGUAGGGAAACUUGCGCAUGGUGCGAAAGCCGGAAGGGCCAACGCCGCGUGAGUGAUGAAGGUCUUGGGAUCGUAAAACUCUGUAAUUUGGGAAGCGGUACCUAAUCAGAAAGCGACGGCUAACUACGUGCCAGCAGCGGCGGUAAUUC